rnacentral:rRNA from 1 species
GACGAACGCUGGCGGCGUGCUUAACACAUGCAAGUCGAACGGAAAGGCCCUGCUUUUGUGGGGUGCUCGAGUGGCGAACGGGUGAGUAACACGUGAGUAACCUGCCCUUGACUUUGGGAUAACUUCAGGAAACUGGGGCUAAUACCGGAUAGGAGCUCCUGCUGCAUGGUGGGGGUUGGAAAGUUUCGGCGGUUGGGGAUGGACUCGCGGCUUAUCAGCUUGUUGGUGGGGUAGUGGCUUACCAAGGCUUUGACGGGUAGCCGGCCUGAGAGGGUGACCGGCCACAUUGGGACUGAGAUACGGCCCAGACUCCUACGGGAGGCAGCAGUGGGGAGUAUUGCACAAUGGGCGGAAGCCUGAUGCAGCAACGCCGCGUGCGGGAUGACGGCCUUCGGGUUGUAAACCGCUGUCGACUGUGACGAAGCGGGAGUGACGGUAAUGGGUAAAGAAGCACCGGCUAACUACGUG